GCGGAUGUGGUGAAGUGGUUAACACAGCGGGUUGUGGUCCCGUCAUGCGAGGGUUACGAAUCCCUUCAUCCGCCCCA
rnacentral:tRNA from 1 species